rnacentral:rRNA from 1 species
GACGAACGCUGGCGGCGUGCUUAACACAUGCAAGUCGAACGGAAAGGCCCUGCUUUUGUGGGGUGCUCGAGUGGCGAACGGGUGAGUAACACGUGAGUAACCUGCCCUUGACUUCGGGAUAACUUCAGGAAACUGGGGCUAAUACCGGAUAGGAGCUCCUGCUGCAUGGUGGGGGUUGGAAAGUUUCGGCGGUUGGGGAUGGACUCGCGGCUUAUCAGCUUGUUGGUGGGGUAGUGGCUUACCAAGGCUUUGACGGGUAGCCGGCCUGAGAGGGUGACCGGCCACAUUGGGACUGAGAUACGGCCCAGACUCCUACGGGAGGCAGGAGUGGGGAAUAUUGCACAAUGGGCGGAAGCCUGAUGCAGCAACGCCGCGUGCGGGAUGACGGCCUUCGGGUUGUAAACCGCUUUCGCCUGUGACGAAGCGUGAGUGACGGUAAUGGGUAAAGAAGCACCGGCUAACUACGUG